GGUAAUAACCAUGAAGUAGCUGCCUGCCAUUUUGUUGCUGUUGUCGGAAGCGCUAAGUUACUGUGCUGAAGUUAAAUGCUGUGAAAGGAGCUUUUUGCUUGAAUAGCUGCUAAAAUUCAGGCAAAAUGCUUUCUGCAGCUCAGUUACUCGACGAGUUAAUGGGCCGGGACAGAAAUUUGGCCCCCGACGAGAAACGAAGCAAUGUCCGUUGGGACCACGAGACUGUGUGCAAGUACUAUCUGUGUGGAUUCUGUCCUGCCGAGCUUUUCACAAACACCCGAUCAGAUUUGGGUCCAUGUGAAAAGAUCCACGAUGAGAACCUUAGGAAAUUGUAUGAGAAGAGCUCACGGUUCAUGAAGGUGGGCUAUGAACGGGACUUCCUGCGCUACCUGCAGAGUCUGUUGGCGGAGGUGGAGAGGCGGAUCCGCAGGGGCCAUGCUAGGCUGGCACUCUCACAAGCACAGCAGGCCGCCGGACAGGGACCUGGCCCCUCCACCAAGAAUGAAGAGAAGGCCUCGGUGCUGACGGAAAAGAUUGAAGAGCUGGUCCUUCAGAUAGAGGAGCUGGGUUCUGAGGGCCGCGUGGAGGAGGCGCAGGGUAUGAUGAAGCUGGUGGAGCAGCUGAAGGAAGAGAGGGAGCAGCUCAGCGCCAACCCUUCAACGAUUGAGAGCUUUGCGGCUCAGGAGAAACAGAUGGAGGUGUGUGAGGUGUGCGGAGCCUUCCUCAUCGUCGGAGAUGCACAGUCCCGUGUGGAUGACCACCUCAUGGGCAAACAGCACAUGGGCUACGCCAAGAUCAAGACUACUGUGGAGGAGCUCAAGGAGAAACUGCGGCGGCGCUCAGAGGAUCCCGAGCCGGACCCCAAGGUAAAGGAGCAGGAGACUCGUGAACGGGAACGAGAAGAGCGGGAGAAGAAACGCAAAGAGGAGGAGGAGGCGCGUGAGAAGGAACGCGAGAAGGAGAAGGAAAAAGAACGGGAGCGUGAGCGAGAGAGGGACCGGGAGCGCGAGAGGGAAAGGGACCGGGAGCGCGAGAGGGAACGGGACCGGGACAGACGAAGCAGACGCAGCAGCUCCAACAGCCGCCACUCAAGCCGGGCGUCCGACCGCAGGAGGAGUCGCUCACGAGAACGCAAACGCUCCCGCAGCAAGGACCGCGACCGCAAGCGCAGCAGGAGUCGCGACAGAGAGAGGAGGCGAAGCAGGGAGCGUUCGGACCGCAAGAGGCGUUCUCGCAGCCGCGAGAGGAAGAGGUCCCGCAGCUCGGAGCGCAAGUCCCACCGGCACCGCAGCCGUAGCAGGGACCGCGACAGAGACCGAGAGAGGGACCGGGACAGGGAGCGCGAGAGGGACAGGGACCGUGACAAGGACAGAUCCUCCAAAGACAAAGACCACAAGGACGGUGAGAAGCGCAGCAGCAAAAGGGCGUCCUCAGGCGAUGAGAAGGCCAGCGAGCUCCCCAAAGGAGAGUCCAUGGAGGUAGACGAUGCCCCCAAAGCCGAGCUCAAUGGCACCCGCGAAAACAUCCAAUCUGAAGGUGACACUCAGUCCAAUUAAAACUGAUCUGAUAGGACCUCAGAUCAGGCCCAGUGCAUCGUAAGUAUGCACUGAAGAUGGAAGAAGGUAGACAGAAUCUCAAAGCCAGAGGGAAAAGCCAGUGUAGCCCUGAGAAACACAUACUCGGAGCGUUGGUGUUGUGAGCGACUCUUCCCCCCCUCUCAUGAAAAAGCCAAAUUAAAAAUCACAAGGAUACUGUCAAACUCACUCAGGAGCCCUAUUGGAAGGCCACGAAAGGACAACACAAGAACAGAAGACCUCCCUGACCAGAAUACGCAACUCUGCUGCUUAAAACAAGGUGAACAACAGAUGUAGUGGCCUGUUGAAACAAAACCAUUUUUUAAAUUAAAAUAAAAAAAAUAAAACCAAUUACAGCCAAUUUAAAAUUGUUUGAAGAGAGGUUGCCCGUUUUUGCAGCAUUUGACAGGACCUGUAGUGGUUCAUUUCUGUUGAUGCCCUUUCUUUCUUAACUACUGCUAUGAAUUUAAACGUACACAUAAAACGGUAGAGGAGAAAUAUGUUUUAAGGUAUACACUUUGUUCACAGCAUUCAGGAUAACAGAAUAAAAGCUGUACCCGUGGCAUGUUUCUUCUUUUCUUUUUUCUUCUUUUUUUGCAGUUUGUAAAGUAAUGGUGUCAUUGUCACGGCAUUUGCCAUUCAGUCUCGGUUUUAAGCAAUUGUACAGUGUUUAGAAUUGGAAAGUAAGAAGGCUUUCCCUCUUCUCCCUCUGUAAGACAUACCCAAUUCAAAUCAGCCCACCUUUUAGGUUUCAGAAGUGAAUUAUUUCUUUUUUUUUGUUUCAUUUUUCAUUCUUGUUUGAAUCUUAAAACAUGUAUUUGUCUCAAAUAAAAUGUUAGAAAAUCA